CAGAGGUGAGAUCAUGCAGUGUUCGUCUUCCUGGGUCCGACUUCUCACGAACCAUGAGAGCACGGCACCGUACCGUGUCUUCCUGCCUUGAACAUGUGAAAGGGACGGCCCCGAGUUUAUGGCCGAUCCCGUGGUGCUCCACCUCGGAACACGUUUAUUUAAGGAAAACGAGAGCAUUGGUUGAGGGACAGCCCCGAAGGAAGUAGGUACGCGACAGGACACCGGACCGGUGAAACAUGGCCCCCCAAGACCCCAGGCACCCCAGUGAGCAAGGUCCAAGACUCGCAGAGGCACUGACCCCUGGCCGUCCUUCUGGCCCGGUGCCUGCCCUGCUUUCCCCAUCAGCAUGUCCCGUUUCUCGGGGUGCCCCCACCCUCGCCUGCCCCCCCACCCCUCCUCUCACCUCACCGGAGUUGGCAGCUCUCCCCAGCUCUCUGGGGGCCCAGCUCCUCGACACCAGCUUUUAUGGCUCCCGAGGAGAAAGCAGGCGGGAAGAGCAGGGGAGAGGGAGGGCGUCAGCAAUUAGGGGGAAGACGGGAGACAGUGCCACGGAAGGAGGGGGGAGUGAGGCUUGCAUGAGCUGGCCUGUGAGGUCAGAACGAGGACGCUCCCUGCUGGGAAGCGUUUCUCUGCUUCACCUCAGUUUCCCCCUGCAGACCCUCUGCUCUGAGAUGCACACGAUGCCCUCCCUCCCGUCUCUGUGCCUCCUCUUUGUCACUUGUCUCAGGCUCUGCGUUUGUUCGAGCGUCCCCCAGCCUGGGUCUGCGUGUUCGGGGCCCGUGUACCCCAUUUCGAUCCACAGCCCUUUCCUCUCUGCCCCUGCGGCCUGGGUUCUCUUUAGUGUCUGCGCGUCUUCAGGGCCCCCGCCGCGUCCUUGCUUCUGUCCUGCACGACGCACCUGUCCAGGUGUCCUUGCUUGUCGAGCGUCUCCCUCUCCCUGGGAAGCAGGCUCGGCGACAGGCGUCAGCGCGUCUUGCGGCUCACGAGGCCUGGAGCCCAGAGGCGCUCCACCAGCAUGGUUUUGUUCCUUGGGGACAUUUGCCCAUGCCCGGAGACACUUUGGGGCGUCGUGACUUGGGGGUGCUUCAGGCCUCCAGGGGAGGGGGCGGCCCGCCGCAGAGAACGAUCCAGCCCCAGGAGUCCGUGGCUGGCUCAUCCGUACCUUCCUUCCACCCCCGCGGAAGGGAGCUGUCU
rnacentral:lncRNA from 1 species